CUUUUUAAUAGGGGGAGAUAACUCCCAAAACACCCAGUUUUCACCUGUGCAGAAUUGCAUGAGUUAAUUAGCAGGUAAUGUAGCUCUUUCAAGAGGUGGAAAAUGUACCCUGAAAGCACACUAAAAGAAAACCUUAGGACUUGUUCUGUGAAAUGCAUGCAACUUAUUUUGUCUGAUUUUUUCUGUUUUUGUUGAGCAGGGGGGUUAAAAAUGCAUAGGUGCACUGAAAAUGGAUGCGUAAACAACCCAAUAUCCCCCUUAUUUCAGGUGUCAAGUACCCCCUAGUAGUAAUUGAUGAAUGUAUUAUAGUUGGAUAUUUACAAAAUUCACAAUUUUAUCUUUCCAUUGAUAUGCAGAAGUCUAUGUAACAAGCCUCCAUUUUAUUUUUUUAUAGGGGUCAGUUUUGCAUGUCCCUCACCAAGUAACGUCCUGAUAACGUCAUACAUAAAACUGUGUUUUGCACCCUUAAGGAGUAGCAUUUGAUGACAUUUCCCACAUUUAUUUGCCUGGGUCAGUUUUGCAUGUCCCUCACCAAGUAACGUCCUGAUAACGUCAUACAUAAAACUGUGUUUUGCACCCAAUGAACAUUUUCUGGCGAAAGACCUCAUCAAAGUUUUACAGUCUGGAAGAAGAAAAGAAGGCUAGACAUCCUAAACAAUGAAGACAGAAGGAUUUACCAUAUAAGAUGAGUAAAGAAAAAGUAAGACCAGUAAACCAAAACAGGACCAAAUAGGCCAUGACUGAAGUUCAAGUGCAUUCUGCAAGAAAGUGGACAGCCUAGAUUUUGUUCUUUUCAAGGUUGAGAAGGGAUGCCAUGUUUAAAGCUGAAUUCCAACCUACUUCAACAUACUUGUACUGUCUUCAAGAUAUCAGUGUUUGAGAUGUCAAAGUUCAAAUAUAAUAGGAACAUGUUUAUCAUAUUAUGUGAUGGCAUCCUCAAAUCUUAUGCUGUAAAACAAUAUGUUUUAGAACUUAUCAUGCUUUAUUCUGUACCUUGCCAAAAAAAACUCAACUCAACAUAAUUCUCAUUAACUAAUUAUCAGUGUUACUUGCAUAUGUCAAUGUAAGUCAUUAUUGGUACAUGCCUGACCAACAAAAACUCUAAAAUUGAAAAAUCAAGAUUUUCAGAGCAGCAGAAACAGUAGAAUUUGUUAUGUAAAUAUAAUGAUAUGUACCGUAGUUGAGAAUACAUGUACUCUAAAUGUUGCAUAUAUAAAAAAUAAAAAAGCGAAAAGUUC